ACACAAAUCACCUGGGGAUGUUGAUUAAAUUGCAGAUUCUGAUUCCUCUGGAAGAGGAGUCUAAGAUUCUGCAUUUCUAAUGAGUUCCAGGAGACAUGCUGAU
rnacentral:miRNA from 1 species